UCUGGUUUCAUAUGGUGGUUUAGAUUUAAGUACACAAUGUCUAGCACCAUUUGAAAUCAGUGUU
rnacentral:pre_miRNA from 1 species